rnacentral:rRNA from 1 species
AAUCAACGCUGGCGGCGUGCCUAACACAUGCAAGUCGAACGAGAAAGUGGAGCAAUCCAUGAGUACAGUGGCGCACGGGUGAGUAACACGUGACUACCUACCCUCGAGUGGGGAAUAACCUCGGGAAACCGGGGCUAACACCGCAUAAUAUCUACGGAUCAAAUGCGAAAGCAGCUUGAGGAGGGGGUCGCGGCCGAUUAGCUAGUUGGUGAGGUAAUGGCUCACCAAGGCAAUGAUCGGUAGCCGGCCUGAGAGGGCGCACGGCCACACUGGAACUGAAACACGGUCCAGACUCCUACGGGAGGCAGCAGUGGGGAAUAUUGCGCAAUGGGCGAAAGCCUGACGCAGCGACGCCGCGUGAGGGACGAAGGCC